GGUGAGAUGGCCGAGUGGUCUAAGGCGCUGUGUUUAGGUCUGUUACGCUUUCGCAACAACCCAGAACCGCAGUCAGUAAUGGCGUGGGUUCGAAUCCCACUCUCAUCA